rnacentral:tRNA from 1 species
AAACUUAGGAUAACCACCCCCUAAACCGAAG